rnacentral:rRNA from 1 species
GCUCCUAAGACCGAUUGAGCCACACUAUUACUAUAGACGAACUUAUGCUAAAACUAGUAACAAGAAAAAUUCUCUUCUGCACACCCCUGCUUCAGUAAUAGAACCCCUACUGAUAAUUAACAGACCUAACCCGGCACAGUACCCAUAGACAUAAAAACUGUCACCCCAACACAGGAGUGCAAACAAGAAAGGUAAAAAAUUGUAAAAGGAACUCAGCAAAGCCCUAUCCCAACUGUUUACCAAAAACAUAGCCUUUAGCAAUAUAAGUAUUAAAGGUCCCGCCUGCCCAGUGAAAUUUUUUUAACGGCCGCGGUAUUCUAACCGUGCAAAGGUAGCGUAAUCACUUGUCUUUUAAAUAAAGACCCGUAUGAAUGGCUAUAUGAGGAUAGCCCUGUCUCCUACAAUUAACCAGUGAAACUGAUCUCCCAGUACAAAAGCUGGGAUUACAACAUAAGACGAGAAGACCCUGUGGAGCUUUAAAUCCAUGACUACCCCCCCCGUACCUAGCACAUGAUUUUAAGUUGGGGCGACUUCGGAACAAAAAGAAACUUCCGAGCACAGAGCCGCACACUCUAACCAAGGCAAACAAGCCAAAGCAACAAACGACCCAGUCACACUGAUUAACGAACCAAGUUACCCCAGGGAUAACAGCGCCAUCUUCUUCAAGAGUCCCUAUCGACAAGAAGGUUUACGACCUCGAUGUUGGAUCAGGACACCCAAAUGGUGUAGCCGCUAUUAAAGGUUCGUUUGUUCAACGAUUAACAGU